AUGGCUAUGCCAGGUAGGAGACCUGCGCAAACUUCCUGUGCUUACCGGGGGGCUAGAGAGACCGGACAGGCCCCGUGUUAUGCGGUGAAGCGCACGGUGUCCCCAGUGCGGGUGCAUAGCCCGGUGCGGUACAUUCCAGCUCCGCGUAUCGGCCGGGCUAGAGUGAACAUUGAGCCAAGUGCCAUGAAGCCGGUUCUACGCAGCUGGUCUCCAGUGCGUCUCCUUGGGCCGGCUUACAUGGCACCAGCCUUGCGCACGGUGUCCUCGGUUCGCCUGCAUAGCCCAGUGCGAGCUAUUCCACCUCGCCGCACUGGCAGGGCGACCGGGACCAUUCAACCGGGUAAGGUUGGGCAGGCUCGGUGCUCAAGAGCUCCAGUGCGCCUGCACGGUCCGGUCUAUCCAGUACCACCUCCACACCCCAGCCCUCCGGUAGCAGCUCCCCGCACCAGGCUUCCUGUGCGUGUCCUCGGCCCAGUACCACCAGUGCCAGCACCACGCAUCAGGCCUAUAGUGCGCCUCGCCUCUCCAGCGCUGCCGGAGUCUCCCGCUUCUCCAGCGCAACCGGAGUCUCCCGCCUGUUCGGCGCUACGAGAGCUACUCUGUCCAGCGCUGCCAGAGCCUUCCUCUCCAGCGUUGCCGGAGCUUCCCGUCUGCCCGGCGCCGCCUGAGCCUUCCGUCUGCCCGGCGCCGCCCGUCUGCCCGGCGCCGCCCGUCUGCCCGGCGCCGCCUGAGCCGCCCGUCUGCCCGGCGCCGCCUGAGCCGCCCGUCUGCCCGGCGCCGCCUGAGCCGCCCGUCUGCCCGGCGCCGCCUGAGCCGCCCGUCUGCCCGGCGCCGCCUGAGCCGCCCGUCUGCCCGGCGCCGCCUGAGCCGCCCGGCGCCGCCCGUCUGCCCGGAGCCGCCCGGCGCCGCCUGAGCCGCCCGUCUGCCCGGCGCAGCCUGAGCCGCCCGUCUGCCCGGCUCUGCCCGGCGCCGCCUGAGCCGCCCGUCUGCCCGGCGCCGCCUGAGCCGCCCGUCUGCCCGGCGCCGCCUGAGCCGCCCGUCUGCCCACCUGAGCCGCCCGUCUGCCCGGGGCCGCCUGUGCCGCCCGUCUGCCAGGGGCCGCCUGUGCUGGGGUACUGUCACGUUCUGACCUUUAUUUCCUUUUGUUUUGUCAUUAUUUAG
rnacentral:lncRNA from 1 species